GAUGAACGCUGGCGGCGUGCCUAAUACAUGCAAGUAGAACGCUGAAGGAAGGAGCUUGCUCUUUCCGGAUGAGUUGCGAACGGGUGAGUAACGCGUAGGUAACCUGCCUGGUAGCGGGGGAUAACUAUUGGAAGCGAUAGCUAAUACCGCAUAACAGUAGCUGUUGCAUGAUAUCUACUUAAAAGGUGCAAUUGCACCACUACCAGAUGGACCUGCGUUGUAUUAGCUAGUUGGUGAGGUAACGGCUCACCAAGGCGACGAUACAUAGACGACCUGAGAGGGUGAUCGGCCACACUGGGACUGAGACACGGCCCAGACUCCUACGGGAGGCAGCAGUAGGGAAUCUUCGGCAAUGGACGGAAGUCUGACCGAGCAACGCCGCGUGAGUGAAGAAGGUUUUCGGAUCGUAAAGCUCUGUUGUAAGAGAAGAACGAGUGUGAGAGUGGAAAGUUCACACUGUGACGGUAUCUUACCAGAAAGGGACGGCUAACUACGUG
rnacentral:rRNA from 1 species